ensembl:snoRNA
UGUGGAUAUUCCCUUUAUUAAAAUAAAAUAUACUUGGACACAUCUGGGGCCAGCUUGCUCCCCACAGGCUCAAGAUCAACCAUCUCACAUAA